UGUUGCUUAUCAGUGAUCAAUGAAGAACAAAUCUGACUAAACUCCAGCAAUGUAAACAUCAUCAAGGAUGAAUCUGUAACACACAGAUGGUAUCCUGAUGAUUAUAUGUGAACCAGUGCAACAGAAACCCAAUCCUAUUGCAGAAGAGUAAUGACCAAGGCAUAUGUUAAAGGAAGGGUGUUUUCCUUCAAACAUAAAUGAUGUUGGAACAAAAAAAUAGAGAAGUUAAGGAAACCUGCAGAUAAGUAAGAAGUAUGGAAAAACUUAUGCUGGGAUGAUGAAGACGGGAAGUCCAGGAGGCCAGACCUUGAUGAUCUUUCCAUGGGGAAAAAGUUGCUAAACGGAUUGUGACAAACUUCGCACCAUAGCCAAUGAAAGUAACACUUCACCUAUGAUUGGAGAUAUCCUGCACAAUGCAGAUGCAAAAAAGAGUUAAGCAAUUUUUUUUUAGUGACCCUUAAGUGUACUCUGUGAAAUAACAACUACUUUUUCAAGUUAUUUUCUUCUCUGAUCUAUUUAUAGAGCAGUUCACAGCACUGUGGGAAAUAAGUCUUUCAGCUGAAUUUGAACUGUGGUUUCAAUGAUAAUAACGAGCAUUGGUGUUUCACAGGUCAGUGCUAUAUUCAUCUGUAGCAGGUUAAAUUAAUUCCAGCCAUUAAAAGAAAAGGCUAGUACAUCUGGCUCUUGACUUAGAGACUUUCCAAUGCUUGUUCGAACUCUCUACUGAUUGGAGAUUGUCUGGCUAAUUAAUAGAAAGCUCUUUUGAAAAUUCUGUUCCAGCAUAAAAUUUGAACCAAAAGUGAUAUAUAUAAAUUGCUAUUAUGAGUAAUAGAAUUUUUUGGGAUAUUGAGAAAAGGAAGACGCACAUGACAAGUUGCCUUCAAAUAGUUUAAUUAUUUAUGUUGAGGUGUAAUACAGAUAAUUCAGCGGCUGGCUUUCAACUGUAAACUCCCAAGAAAAUAAUGCAUAAAUGAACAGAUAGUCCGAUUGCAUUGAUGUUGAUUGAGAAAUAAUUUUGGCCAGAACACAUGGAUAACUCUCCUAUUUGAUGUACCACUUUAGUAUCUUUUCCAGCCAUCCAGGAAAUGAUGUUGCAUUUAUUCAACAAUGCAUCCACAAGCUUGAAUCUAUGACAAUGCCUCAGUGUCUCAUAAAGUUUGCCUGAGUUUUAUUGCCUAGGAGGGACAAUUAAACAUAAUAUUCUGACUAGUCAUGGAGCUUUACAAUGUAUUACAUGACAGUAAAACUAUUGAUGUUUCACUGCUUGUCAAUUAAUAUUAUUAAGAAUGACCCUUUUUCUAUGUUGUGUAAGUAUAAAGUACAAAGUAAAUUUAUUAUCAAAGCUCAUAUGUCAUCCUGUACAGUGCUAAAGUUCAUUUUCUUGCAAGCACAUAGAGUGAAACCAAGAAACACAAUAGAAUCAAUGAAAGACCACACCUAACAAGACAGACAAAACAACCAGUGUGACUCUGUUAUCUUUUAAAUAACAAUUGCUAAAUUAUCUUGUUUGCUUCAUUGUAAUUUGGUCAGUAAAGUGUCUAGAGUAGCACAUUUGGUCCCAUACGCUGCAAAUCUGAACUCAGUUGGAGUAAGAUCACAGUAUGAGGACAUAUUUUAGUGAAUCAAUCGAUGUAUGUGCUUGUCUAAAAGAAAGUGCAAAUGUCCUGUACUUUUCCAGUUGCAAAUGAUUUAUGUUGAGGUUUUUGUUGUGUAAAGGCAAAUGCUCAGAGGAAUUACACUGUGGAACCCCAUAGCUGUACAGAAGAUUGGAACCUGUAAUUCAUUCUUAAUAUUGUUUUACACCUAAUAAA